rnacentral:rRNA from 1 species
GGGGAAUCUUCCGCAAUGGACGAAAGUCUGACGGAGCAACGCCGCGUGAGUGAUGACGGCCUUCGGGUUGUAAAGCCCUGUUAAUCGGGACGAAAGGCCUUCUUGCGAAUAGUUAGAAGGAUUGACGGUACCGGAAUAGAAAGCCACGGCUAACUACGUGCCAGCAGCCGCGGUAAUACGUAGGUGGCAAGCGUUGUCCGGAAUUAUUGGGCGUAAAGCGCGCGCAGGCGGAUUGGUCAGUCUGUCUUAAAAGUUCGGGGCUUAACCCCGUGAUGGGAUGGAAACUGCCAAUCUAGAGUAUCGGAGAGGAAAGUGGAAUUCCUAGUGUAGCGGUGAAAUGCGUAGAUAUUAGGAAGAACACCAGUGGCGAAGGCGACUUUCUGGACGAAAACUGACGCUGAGGCGCGAAAGCCAGGGGAGCGAACGGGAUUAGAUACCCCGGUAGUCCUGGCCGUAAACGAUGGGUACUAGGUGUAGGAGGUAUCGACCCCUUCUGUGCCGGAGUUAACGCAAUAAGUACCCCGCCUGGGGAGUACGACCGCAAGGUUG